GAUGAACGCUGGCGGCGUGCCUAAUACAUGCAAGUCGAGCGAACAGACGAGGAGUUUGCUCCUCUGACGUUAGCGGCGGACGGGUGAGUAACACGUGGAUAACCUACCUAUAAGACUGGGAUAACUUCGGGAAACCGGAUCUAAUACCGUAUAAUAUAUUGAACCGCAUGGUUCAAUAGUGAAAUACGGUUUUUCUGUCACUUAUAGAUGGAUCCGCGCCGCAUUAGCUAGUUGGUAAGGUAACGGCUUACCAAGGCAACGAUGCGUAGCCGAACUGAGAGGGUGAUAGGCCACCUUGGAACUGAGACAGGGUCAAGACUCCUAAGGGAGGCAGCAGUAGGGAAUCUUACGCAAUGGGCGAAAGCAUGACGGAGCAACGCCGAGUGAGUGAUGAAGGUCUUCGGAUCGUAAAAAUCUGUUAUUAGGGAAGAACAAAUGUGUAAGUAACUAUGCACGUCUUGACGGUAACUAAUAAGAAAGCAACGGCUAACUACGUG
rnacentral:rRNA from 1 species